AAAAACAUAAUAGUGGUUCGAUUCCACUAGGACAAA
rnacentral:tRNA from 1 species